rnacentral:rRNA from 1 species
CAGCCGUAAACUAUGCGCGUUAGGUGUACUGGUGACCACGAGUCACCGGGGUGCCGAAGGGAAACCGUGAAACGUGCCGCCUGGGAAGUACGGUCGCAAGGCUGGAACUUAAAGGAAUUGGCGGGGGAGCACCACAACGGGUGGAGCCUGCGGUUUAAUUGGACUCAACGCCGGAAAUCUCACCGGAUAGGACAGACAUAUGAUAGUCGGGCUGAAGACUCUACUUGAUGAUCUGAGAGGAGGUGCAUGGCGUCAGUGACU